CUUAAAGCCUCCCUUUAGAUACUGAAAGGCCACUGGCAGGUCUCCCUGGAACCUUCUCUUCUCCAGGCUGAACAGUGUGGUAUCUCAUGCCAUGUUCCACCUUUUCUUUUUCUCUGUUUCCAUAUUGAAACUGUGAGCGGGAAGUCGACACAAGGGGCCAUGAAAAGAAAGGCCAUGGUAUUUUUUGCUGAGAAUGUGUUUUUGGGGUCCUGUUUGAUACUCAUGAAAGAAAAUUGCUCUUUUCAGUUUUCCAACUCUGGGCCAGACCCAGGGGCUAGCAGACCCCAUAGUUGUACCCCACAGCCUGAUCUGCACCGGACACCUUCCUCUUGCUGCCGCUUUUGUCUUAAACCAGGCUCCCGUGUCAUGGUCCUGCUGGGUGUUGAAGCCUUCUAUCUGCCCCAAUGGCCCAGGAUGAUGGCCAUGGUUGGUGAGGUGGCUGGUGGUUGCCCAAAAGUGCUGUGGGGCUCACCCUCCGCCACCUCUCUCCUUAGCCCCUGGCCAUGCACGAUCAGACUGGAAGCAGCACAACUGAGAGCCAUUUGCUCUGUCUGAGUGUGCACGUGUUUUACGGAGUGGUGACAACAUGAUGUACACAUUUCAACCAGAUGUGAUGGCUGUGUAGCAUAGUAGCACCAGGGACGCUCGACUGCGCAGGGCUGGAAGCAGUGGCACAGGAAGUCUGGUCCCAUAUUUACCUUUCCCUGCAGCUAUGUCCUGGGGUAAGGAGGAUGGAGCUGGGCCACUGCUGGCAUGGGAGACUCCCUGGGCACACUGAGCUGAAGGAAACAAAACAAUGAAGAUGCUUUGGGGAAGAACAGCAAGGAGAAGCCCUCAAAGGAGAAGCCUUAAAAUUAUCUGACUGCCUGAGCCUUCUCUUGAAGCACAGGAGCUGGUGUAGAGCCCAUGAAGAUCUGUGCCACUCCUGAUCACUGCUGGCUCUGGCUGGUGCUUGAAUACUUGUAAUAGGGUCUAGACAAAGGUUAGAGAUGCUCGGAUUGGUAAGCUGUGCCAGGAGAGGAUUAGCUGGGUGUUAGGAAAAGUUCUUGAUCAGAGUGUGGUUGGGUUCUGGAACAGGCUUCCCAGGGCCGUGGUCGUGACCCCAAGCUGCUGGAGUUCUUGGACAGUGCCCUCAGACAUAAGUGUUGAAUUUUGUGUGUUGCUGUGUGGAGCCAGAAGUUGGACUCACUGAUCCUUGUGGCUCCCUUCAAGCUUGGGACAUCGUGGAAUCAUAGAAUGGCUUGACUUGGAAGGGACUCCAAGGAUCAUCAAGUUCCAACCCUCCUGCCACAGGCAGGGGCACCAACCU
ensembl:lncRNA